rnacentral:tRNA from 1 species
ACCUGGGUGGCUCAGUCGGUUGAGCAUCUGACUUCAGCUCAGGUCACGAACUCACGUUCAUGGGUUUAAACCCCACGUCAGGCU